ensembl:lncRNA
CAAAUCCAAGACAUAAUGAAACUAAUUAAAAUAACAGUGUCCAUGCACAAAUCAGGCAUCACUAAACACUUAAAGGUCACAGAUCUUUAGAACCACAGCCAAACAAGAAUUCCUUUUCUUUUUUUAUAAAUAAAUGUGUAGAUUCUAGCUAAAUGUGUGUUUAAAAAAAAGGAAAACAAAAGGAGGGCCACAACAAUCAUGGUAAGAGGAGUUGGCACUGUUGCCCUAACAAGACCGUUCAGUUCUGCUUAAAUAAUCAGUUUCCCUUGUGUCCGGACAACACAACAGCUGUAUUUUAUUUGUUUUUUCCUGGGAAAAUAACAACGAUGACAAGAAAAAUUAUAAUUUCUUCUUCUUCAAAAAAAAAUAUUGCGGUCACUGAUCUGCCUCUCUGACUGCUGUGCGUGCUCCCAACACAAGGGAAGAAGCUGGGGAAGCUGAUGAACUAGGGGUGGAUAAAAACAACCAUUUUUAUCAGCAAUUUUGGUUGCUGUGAUAUACAACUUGAUGUUAAGUACACAUAGUUAUUAAUUUUGGUGCUAGUUAAGCUGUAUACAGGACACAGUACACAAGUCAAUGCCUUCAAACUGUCAUGGUCGAACGGUCCUUCCUGGGCGACCUGCCUGUGUGUGUCUCUCUCUCCUCCUCCCCAUCCUUGUUGUCUCCACCCAGCGGCCGACACACCUGCACCUAAUUUGCCACCCAGCUGUCACUAAUCAUCCUUCGUCUUGGGCUGAGGUAUUUAAUUGUGUGUCCAGACGGCAGUCGACGCUGGAUUGUACUUGAAGCUCAGAGGAAGAGAUACGGAGCAGGAGGUUGGAGAGAAGGAGCCCGCUGGAUUAAGCUCUCGGACGAGAAAACACACUCGGAUAAUCACUUUGGAAACUCACCUGCACACCACUGGGAGUUUGGAGAAGAUCACUGUUGGAUUUUUGCACUUUGCUUUGUGUUUGGAGACUGUUUUUGAGCACUGUAAAUAAAGGCACUGUUUGCUUCGCAUCCAGAGCUCCGCGACUGAGUCCGUAUUUUCCCAUUACCCAUGACACAAACUGAAAAUCGGCUAAGUCCAACAUUCCAGUCAAAAUUUUAACUAACUUAGCAUGGCUUGAGUGCUAGGAAAAAGUUCACCAGGACUUGACUAACGACAUACAUUACUUUGCAGCAUCGUAACUUUGUAAACAUUUCAUUUAUACUUAGGGAUUCAAAUUAGGCCAAAAAGGUAUUGCCUUUAGUGCAGAAAAUAAGUCCUUAGCUCAAAGUGGUGCGGCCUCUGGUAUAAUUUAUUAUCAGUUAUUUCGUUUCAAUUU